UUUUUUCUUAAUGCAAAAUUAUGUUCAGUCGUGUAUUUGAUUCGUUAUAUAACCUGAAACAGCCUGUGAUGCCGACAAUGGAAUUGGAUUCAGAAGCGUUUGUGGAGGUGGAUCCGAGCGGCAGGUACGGAUGCUACAGGUUUCGAUACAGACCUUGAAGAAGUGGUCAUGGAAAAUAUUGAAAGGCUUAGAUUAUCUACAUAGGCAUGAACCCUGUAUCAUUCACACAUAUCUCAAUUGUAGCAACGUCUUCAUCAAUGGCAAUAUCAGCAAGGUACAAAUAUUGAUCCAAUAAAGGAUUGGUUUUAAACAUUUUUAAUAAUAAAUAUAUAAUUAAUUAAUGAAUAGAUAUAUAGAUAUUAGGUAAAAAUUGGCGAUUUGGGUUUGGCUGCAAUAGUUAGUAAGAGCCAUUGUGCACAUUCAAUACUGGGGACACCUGAAUUCUUGGCUCCUGAGCUGUACGAGGAGGAUUACACGGAGCUGGUCGAUUUGGGUUUGAGAUGGUGACUCUUGAACUGCCUUACAACGAAUGUGAUAAUAUUGCCAGAAUUUACAAGAAGUUGACAUCGAGAAAAAGCCCUUCAUGGAGGCGUUGAGGCAACUAUUUUUCUCUACAGGACCAGAUAAUUUCUGCAUCAUUCAUGUUAGCCUUGUACCAGUUCUUGGUGUUGUUGGGGAACAGAAAACUAAGCCUACACAUCACAGUGUCCGGGAACUGCGAGAUUUAGACUUGAUCCCUCACUUUUUAGCAUGUCGUUCAGCUCAGGUAUGAUUUAUGAAUGGGUGUGUUGUGGUUAA